rnacentral:rRNA from 1 species
AUUGAACGCUGGCGGCAUGCCUUACACAUGCAAGUCGAACGGCAGCACGGGAGCAAUCCUGGUGGCGAGUGGCGAACGGGUGAGUAAUAUAUCGGAACGUGCCCAGUAGUGGGGGAUAACUGCUCGAAAGAGCAGCUACUACCGCAUACGACCUGAGGGAGAAAGGGGGGGACCGCAAGACCUCUCGCUAUUGGAGCAGCCGAUAUCAGAUUAGCUAGUUGGUGGGGUAAAGGCCUACCAAGGCAACGAUCUGUAGUUGGUCUGAGAGGACGACCAGCCACACUGGGACUGAGACACGGCCCAGACUCCUACGGGAGGCAGCAGUGGGGAAUUUUGGACAAUGGGCGCAAGCCUGAUCCAGCAAUGCCGCGUGCAGGAAGAAGGCCUUCGGGUUGUAAACUGCUCUUGUCAGGGAAGAAAUCCUCUAGGUUAAUACCCUUGGGGGGAUGACGGUACCUGAAGAAUAAGCACCGGCUAACUACGUGCCAGCCGCCGCAGUAACAC